rnacentral:rRNA from 1 species
UCUGUAGGUGAACCUGCGGAGGGAUCAUUAAAGAGUUAAACAACUCCUAAACCCAUGUGAACCCACCUUUGUUGCCUCGGCAGGUCUGCAACUUACCCUGAGGGGACCUACCCUGUAGGGACCUUACCCGGUAGUUGCCGGCAUAACCUGCCGGUGGUCUACUAAACUCUGUUUACUAUGUUAUUCUGAAUAAUAUAACUAAAUAAGUUAAAACUUUCAACAACGGAUCUCUUGGUUCUGGCAUCGAUGAAGAACGCAGCGAAAUGCGAUAAGUAAUGUGAAUUGCAGAAUUCAGUGAAUCAUCGAAUCUUUGAACGCACAUUGCGCCCAUUAGUAUUCUAGUGGGCAUGCCUGUUCGAGCGUCAUUUCAACCCUUAAGCCCUGUUGCUUAGCGUUGGGAGCCUACAGAUACCCUCUGUAGUUCCUUAAAGUUAGUGGCGGAGUCGGUUUCACACUCUAGACGUAGUAAAUUUUAUCUCGCCUAUAGAUGAGCCGGUCCCUUGCCGUAAAACCCCCUAAUUUCUAAAGGUUGACCUCGGAUCAGGUAGGAAUACCCGCUGAACUUAAGCAUAUCAAUAAGCGGAGGA